rnacentral:rRNA from 1 species
GACGAACGCUGGCGGCGUGCUUAACACAUGCAAGUCGAACGGUGAAGCCCAGCUUGCUGGGUGGAUCAGUGGCGAACGGGUGAGUAACACGUGAGCAACCUGCCCUCCACUUCGGGAUAAGCCUUGGAAACGGGGUCUAAUACCGGAUAUGAGCUCGCAUCGCAUGGUGUGGGUUGGAAAGUUUUUCGGUGGGGGAUGGGCUCGCGGCCUAUCAGCUUGUUGGUGGGGUGAUGGCCUACCAAGGCGUCGACGGGUAGCCGGCCUGAGAGGGCGACCGGCCACACUGGGACUGAGACACGGCCCAGACUCCUACGGGAGGCAGCAGUGGGGAAUAUUGCACAAUGGGCGAAAGCCUGAUGCAGCGACGCCGCGUGAGGGAUGACGGCCUUCGGGUUGUAAACCUCUUUCAGCAGGGAAGAAGGCUUCGGUUGACGGUACCUGCAGAAGAAGCGCCGGCUAACUACGUGCCAGCAGCCGCGGUAAUACGUAGGGCGCAAGCGUUGUCCGGAAUUAUUGGGCGUAAAGAGCUCGUAGGCGGUCUGUCGCGUCUGGUGUGAAAUCCCGAGGCUCAACCUCGGGCUUGCAUCGGGUACGGGCAGACUAGAGUGCGGUAGGGGAGACUGGAAUUCCUGGUGUAGCGGUGGAAUGCGCAGAUAUCAGGAGGAACACCGAUGGCGAAGGCAGGUCUCUGGGCCGCAACUGACGCUGAGGAGCGAAAGCAUGGGGAGCGAACAGGAUUAGAUACCCUGGUAGUCCAUGCCGUAAACGUUGGGCACUAGGUGUGGGGCUCAUUCCACGAGUUCCGCGCCGCAGCUAACGCAUUAAGUGCCCCGCCUGGGGAGUACGGCCGCAAGGCUAAAACUCAAAGGAAUUGACGGGGGCCCGCACAAGCGGCGGAGCAUGCGGAUUA